CCAAGCAGUUAACAUUAUGGAUUACAAAAUGGAUUUACCGGGCGGUUUCCGUGGACGCUUCCUGGCGAUGACGAGGGCAGACGGCGUAGUCCUUUCCUACGAUCUCAAAAGACGUCCUGUGAUGGAAAAGUCCAGUACUGACCAAGCUGUGGACCUGUGAUGAGAAGAGAGUGAAACCAGAGCCACCAGACAAGGCCAGCAAGUUGCCUCUGGAGUGACUCACGCAUCCUUUUAAAAAUCUCCACUCUUUCAUCCUGCUGUGAAGUUAGAGGCAUCCCUGGGCCCCAGGCUUUUGCUUACCCUCAGCCACCUUCUGCUCAGCUGGACUGCGCUGGAUCAGCAGCCAGCACCAGGAAGGACUUUCUAGGGUACACUGUGCACUGUGCAGGCCAGAGGAUUUCUGGCCAGAGGCAGUGCCAGAGGUCUCCACUCCCUGCUUUUCUAUGCAAAUCACUUGUGUACUGUGAUGUUCAGGUGAAGGCAUGUGAGAAACUGAGAGUUGUGUUCUGCAAAAACAUGUACUAUUCUAAAAUGUUUUCAAUGAAUAUUAGCUUUGCAAGUCAUGUGUAUUCAACAACUUUUUCCUCAUGUAAGGAAUGGUGAUGUACUGUAAAUUCUUGGUGUGAAAUAUUACACCUCAAUUCCCAUUUUCCUGGACUCUUUGUCCCUGCUCCUUCCAUUAUGGGUAAUGGAAAGAGAAUGGGUACUAUGGCAAGGAUUUGAAAUGGAGUCUGUGCCUCGUGGCACUGCUUCCCCCUUCCCUGUAGACAGUAGUGCAAUUGGCAUAGCAAGAGCAGGCGCUUUGAGAGGUGCGUUGGUCACCGGGGGUGCUGAGGACUUACUUGGCCUUACACUGGUGAUAAUGAUGCAAUUCAAAGAGGAGGUUCCCCCUCCCCCACGGAGAGAGAGUAACUGGACCAAGGACAGUGCUCACUUCUGUGACUUUUUUCCUAAUCACCCAAGCAUGGGGAAACAAGUGCUUCUGCUGCCUCCAUUUUCCUGAGGCGUGGGUGCUAGACGGAUGGAUCACUGUUUUGUCAGAGCAGUAGCCAAAAAUUCAGCACUCAGAAAACUCAAAUCAGAGUUUGACUGGCACCUUCCCUGUGGUGUUAGUCCCUGAGCUGUGAGCGGCCUUCUCAAGGAAUCACUUUAUGCCUGACAGGGUUCCCCAGAUCUCUGUGUCUGCAUUUCUUUCCUGUAUGCUUAUUGGCGGGAUACAACUUUGGUAUGCGAAGUAACGGAAGUGCCUAGUAGGGAAAUAUGCUGAGAUGUAAGUGGCUUUCAAGACUCAUUUGCCAGCCACGUUGAUCUUGGGAUCUUUUAAAGAAAUUACAGGGUUUAUUGUGUCAGAAAGAGACAGGGCUCCUCUGAUGAGCAAAGAUGGAAUGAUGGCCUUCAACUAGCCAUGCCCGCAGGGCCUAAGUCACAGAGGUAGAGAGAGGCCUAGGAAGAAUGGCUCUCUGUUGGAUCUCUGAGGGCAUGAGCGAAGGAUUGGCUGAGCCAGCCCUGAAUGUGAAGGGGGUAACUAACUGUGCUCAGAUGUCUCCUGGUCACUGCCACAGCUCUUGUCAACCCCGCUGGAAAGGGGGAGUUCUAUUUGUCCAUGGGUGUCUCUGCUUAUUGACACCCCUGGCACUACCUGGGGUUGAUGUCCACGGGGGACAGAGGACCACGGCUCCCUCCUUCCAGUGUGAUUUGACAUCCCAAGGUCUCUGACAAAGAUGGGGCAUGUUUUUCUGCUUUGCAGCAGCUUUGGGAGCUCUGGGCUUUGUUGUUGGGAGGCUUUCUGUUUUUGCCAUCUUCUGUGUACUGCCUUCCCCCAUGAGACAAGACUAGGAGGGUGAGACUCACCCUCCUGUACUUGCUUCAGGAAGGGUCUUCUUCAUGAGUCUCCUCCAAGGCAUUUGUUGUUUCUGGAAUGGUGAUGUACUGCAAAUUCUUGGUGUGAAAUAUUACACUUCAAUUCCCAUUUUCCUGGACUCUUUGUCCCUGCUCCUUCCAUUAUGGGUAAUGGAAAGAGAAUGGGUACUAUGGCAAGGAUUUGAAAUGGAGUCUGUGCCUCGUGGCACUGCUUCCCCCUUCCCUGUAGACAGUAGUGCAAUUGGCAUAGCAAGAGCAGGCGCUUUGAGAGGUGCGUUGGUCACCGGGGGUGCUGAGGACUUACUUGGCCUUACACUGGUGAUAAUGAUGCAAUUCAAAGAGGAGGUUCCCCCUCCCCAGGUUCCCUGGUUUGACUGCCAGCCCUUUCAUAGUGGCGUGUGGCCCACAGCGACACGGAAGAAAGUGAGCUGUGGUUUCCGGCAGCACUUCCCAGGUACUGCACACCACACCCUUCUUAAACAUUCCCAAGGCACAAGUGUCGGGUAAGAUUCCUGUAGGAACCUUACAACGACAUUGGCAGCAUCAAGGGUUUGAGGACCUUUUUGUCCUGGGGAAGAAAUUGGCAGAGGACUGAGGACAUUCUGACUAGAAUAUCCUGAGGGGUGAGAGACCAAGUUCUGGGUCAGAGGCGUGUGGCUCUCAUUAGAAAUCCAGAAGCCUCUGUGGCAACACAUUUGGACCAUUUGCAGAUUUGCUGUGAACACACUCCCGCUGCCCUUACUCUGCACCUGGGUGGGAGGAGAAACGUGUGGGUCUUGCCCUAGAAGUUGCCUGAAGCUGGGCAUGUUUGCCUUCUUCCAGAGCUUGUACUACAGCUGAGCCGGAUUCUCGGGAACCAGGUCAGUCCUGCAGGCUGCUGGUUGAAUCCUCUCAGCCCUCUGGCUGGAGAGGCAUCUCCCCACAGGCUCUAGCUGCCCCUUCCCCCUCUAUCUGCCGGAGGGUGUGGAUGCUUUGUCCAAGUCAGUGUCCAGAUCCCAGCGCCCCCAAGCCCAGAGCUUUCUUCUCAAGUAAUGCGUAAGCCUUGUGGCCGCUAGCCGGCUGUUGGUGUGGAAGGCACUGAUGCCACUGAUGCCACGAGGUGGGGAUGCUUGGUGUUCACGGUCUUCUGUGACUCUUUCUUGGCAUUGGGCAGUGACAUUGCCUCAGGGGCUCUCUGACUACCCUCAAGGAAAAGUGGUUGUACUAGGAGUCAAGGGCACCAGCUCAGCACUAGAGUGCGGCGAAUGCAGCCGUGCAGGGCUGUUUGAGGGGCGAGCGGUGCCGUGGCUUCUGUAUUACUCUCCACUACUCGGAUAUGGAGUGUACUCACUCGGGGCCUGGCUGGGAUAUGGGGCCAUAUCCCAGGGAAGGACACGGCACUGCUGCCAAUGUUGUGAUGGGAUUUGUGGGUUCAGCUUGUAUCUGCUGUCCUCUGUCCCAGUUCUCUCUGUAGGCCAGCACAGCUGGGCACAGAGGUAGCUUGGCCCAUGGAUGCAUUUGACCUGAGAAACAGGCCCUUUGCGAAGGUCAGUGAUCUUGCAGCAGGCACGUCCAUUGACUCCCAAGGGGACUCACCCUUCUGGUGCUUUCUGUCAGAUAUUGUAA